AACGAACGCUGGCGGCAGGCUUAACACAUGCAAGUCGAACGCCCGUAGCAAUACGGGAGUGGCGGACGGGUGAGUAACGCGUGGGAACGUACCCUGAGGUACGGAAUAACCGAGGGAAACUUCGGCUAAUACCGUAUGAGCCCCGCAAGGGGGAAAGAUUUAUCGCCUUGGGAGCGGCCCGCGUCGGAUUAGCUAGUUGGUGGGGUAACGGCCUACCAAGGCUUCGAUCCGUAGCUGGUCUGAGAGGACGAUCAGCCACACUGGGACUGAGACACGGCCCAGACUCCUACGGGAGGCAGCAGUGGGGAAUCUUGCGCAAUGGGGGCAACCCUGACGCAGCCAUGCCGCGUGAACGAUGAAGGCCUUAGGGUUGUAAAGUUCUUUUACCCGUGACGAUGAUGACGGUAACGGGGGAAUAAGCUCCGGCUAACUUCGUGCCAGCAGCCGCGGUAAUGUCUGUACU
rnacentral:rRNA from 1 species